rnacentral:rRNA from 1 species
CAGUAGCCGCGGGAAUACGGAGGGAGCUAGCGUUGUCCGGAAUUACUGGGCGUAAAGCGCACGUAGGCGGCUUUGUAAGCUAGAGGUGAAAGCCUGGAGCUCAACUCCAGAACUGCCUUUAAGACUGCAUCGCUUGAAUCCAGGAGAGGUGAGUGGAAUUCCGAGUGUAGAGGUGAAAUUCGUAGAUAUUCGGAAGAACACCAGUGGCGAAGGCGGCUCACUGGACUGGUAUUGACGCUGAGGUGCGAAAGCGUGGGGAGCAAACAGGAUUAGAGACCCCUGUAGUCCCUGUCUCUUAUAC